AUUGAACGCUGGCGGUAUGCCUUACACAUGCAAGUCGAACGGUAGAGGGGCAACCCUUGAGAGUGGCGAACGGGUGAGUAAUACAUCGGAACGUGCCCAGUCGUGGGGGAUAACGUAGCGAAAGCUACGCUAAUACCGCAUACGACCUGAGGGUGAAAGCGGGGGAUCGCAAGACCUCGCGCGAUUGGAGCGGCCGAUGGCAGAUUAGGUAGUUGGUGGGGUAAAGGCCUACCAAGCCUGCGAUCUGUAGCUGGUCUGAGAGGACGACCAGCCACACUGGGACUGAGACACGGCCCAGACUCCUACGGGAGGCAGCAGUGGGGAAUUUUGGACAAUGGGCGAAAGCCUGAUCCAGCCAUGCCGCGUGAGUGAAGAAGGCCUUCGGGUUGUUAAAGACUCUUUCGGCUGGGAAGGAAAUACGCACAGGCUAAUACUCUGUGUGGAUGACGGUACCAGCACAAGAAGCACCGGCUAACUACGUGCCAGCAGCC
rnacentral:rRNA from 1 species